GCGCGUGUCCGUGAUAUAAAUUAAAGGGCCGCAGUAUUUUGACUGUGCGAAGGUCAGCUUAAUCACUAGUCUUUUAAUUGGAGGCUUGUAUGAAUGGCUUGAAUGAGAUAUAUACUGUCUUUUUUAAAAUUAUAUAGAAUUUUAUUUUUUAAUUAAAAAGUUAAAAUAAAAUUAAAGGACGAGAAGACCCUAUAGAUCUUUAUUUUUGUUAUUUAUAAAUUAAAAAGAAUUUUAAAAUUUAUAAUUUAAUAAAAAAUUUUAUUGGGGUGAUAUUAAAAUUUAAAAAACUUUUAAAAUUUAUUAACAUAAAUAUAUGAAUAAAUGAUCCAGUUUUAUUGAUUAAAAAUUUAAGUUACCUUAGGGAUAACAGCGUAAUUUUUUUUUAGAGUUCAUAUCGACAAAAAAGAUUGCGACCUCGAUGUUGGAUUAAGAGUUAUUUUUAGGUGUAGAAGUUUAAAGUUUAGGUCUGUUCGACCUUUGAAUUCUUACAU
rnacentral:rRNA from 1 species